rnacentral:lncRNA from 1 species
UUUAAAAAAUAAUAAAAAUCUGCUCUCAGACUUAUGGUCUCACCUCUAUCUUCGAUCUCUAAUGAGAUGAAAAGAGGGAGGCUCAGAAUCACCUUGGAACCAUCGAAGAGGGAAAUCCCUUCGUUGCCCUCCUCUUCGGCACUCUUCUCAACCGAGGGCUGCAGCCGUUGUCUUUCCAAAUAGGAGACAAUCACAGGAGAAGAAUUAAAAGUGGGCUUUCCCAGUCAUUUGAUUUGCUAUCAAAUACGAAGACUAAC